GUUAAGAAAUGUGCAUAUCAGGGAAUAAUUAGGCUAAAGUAAUAAUGUUUUGUCAAAAAACUUUUCAACAAGAAAUUUAUCUUUUGUGUAACUAUUUUGAACUGCAGUUUAGGAAAUUCUGUAUCCUGUAAUUGUGAUUUAGUUAUUGGAAUUGUGAUUUAUUGUUAUUGAUUGAUUGUACUCUUGAACUAGGUCCCACUGUUAAAACAGCGAAACCAGUUUGGAAGUGCUGGAGGUCUGCAGUUCAUAAAGUAACCACAAGGUAGCAGUAUAAACUUGUGCGAGUCCGAUUCUUAUUCACAGCUGUUUCAUGAACGCUCUGGUGACUGUAGCAUCUCUGCAUUUACUCCCCAUGUGCGUGCAACUGAAGCUUAAGAAAGCACCUGUUUUUUAUUAGAGCGGUAAUCCAACUCCAGUCCCUCUUAAGGAAGCAGAGGAGAGAUAGAGGUGAAAGGAAAUAUAUAGCUGCUGGAAGAAAAAAAUACAGUAUUUGCAGCACCAUGGGGGUGUUCAUCCACAAAGUCACAUGAGGACUGGGCUGGGAGAGGUUACUGGACUGUGGGAAGAGAGCGAUCUGGGCUGCUUUUGAAGGACAACGCUGAGUGUUAGAAAAGAUCUCAGCUGUUCAUGGUGUCUUUUAUUGCUCAGGAGUUGAUCUUUAAUAGCUCAGGAGAUGUAAUAAAGUUCUCAUUUAUGUUCAGUUUCAGCUGUCUCAGAUGUUUCCUCUUUAGAUUCCUCUGGAAAAAAGAACAAUACACUGUGGACAAAUGAUUUUUGAAGUUGUAAAUAAAAAGAUUAUAGGAGUAUGUUUCAUGUUUAAUUCAAUGUGCUACUUGCCAUUUCUUUGUAAUUAUGAAAUUUACUAGCAGUUUCUAAAUGAUAAUUGUUUCAAAGUAAAUCCUACACGAUUUUUUUUCAGUAGAAAGACAGAACAGGUUUCCCCACACAGAUUUUCAACAGAUUCAAGUUCAUCACACAAAUUUGCACAGAACAGCUUGUUUUGAAAGUGACUCCUGUGUGAGCUGUGCUUUAUGCAUUGCUAAACCUAUAGACAAUGGGUUGUUUUUGACCACAAAAUAAAGGUGGCUGCACUUUUAGUCUGCUAAAAACAGGUUUUGAGUGCAGACUCGUUUGCAACUCAUUUGUUUUUGUUUUUUUCCCUGUACAGGCAUACUGCCCCACGAAGGCAAAACGCAGUAACUACCCAAUCAAAGUCAAAACUGAGCAGAAUCUGGACUGUUAAGAGAAUAGCACACUGAAUACGGCAGGCAGACAACAUACCAUUCUAGGCAGCUUGAAUAGUUUUCACAGCUUGAAUAAAACCUACGUUAAAUAUAGAGAAAUUGCUUAAUGAAUGUUACCCUUUUGAAUUGAACAUCUGCACAGUUUUUUAAUGCACCAAUCUGAAAACUCACUGCCUUCACUUUGUUUAUUAUUUAAGAAGUGCAAAAACUUUUUAUAUAAAUUUCAGGUAUUUCUGUUGCACAAACAGUAAAGCAUGGCACUAGCAGCACCAAUGUAAUGGGUUUGAUUCCCAAGGAAUGCAUGCACUGAUAAAAAAAAUAAAUAAUAAUAAAUGCAUACCUUGAAUGCAUUGUAAGUCGCUUUGGAUAAAAGUGUCUGCCUAUACAUACAUGUAAAUGUAUAGUCACUGAUUCAGACUGCUACUUAGUGGGUGUUUAAAGUAGUACCUCACACUUUUGUAUUGUUAAUGUGAUGAAAAAUUGAUCAAUGAUGUAUAUGCCACACACCCCAGAUUUAUCACUGUCUGUCAGCUGGUAGAGGAAGAUUACUGAGGUUUUUCAUAAUUCAGGUAAGCCUCACUAUUCAUUAUAUAUAAAACCUUUAUUUUAAGAAAACACUGUGCCAGCCUGCAAAAAAAAUGCAUGAAUUUGUUAUGUACACAAAUGCUUUAUACAUGUACACCAUUUCCAUCUCUGAUAGGUCUAGAAAGUGUUAUGACGUCGUCAUGGCCACCCAUCGCUAUAGCUGUGUGUAGUUUUGAAAAUGGCUGGCAAAAGGAAACGAGCAGACAGGACCAGAGUUCCCCACAUCAGUCUCUCUGUCUCUGAUAGGUGGUUUCCAGUUUCAUAAUGACAGACUGAGAGACUUGUAUUAAAAGUCUCCCAUGCCUCUUCGACUCUUUGACUUACGUCAGACUCAAAAAUACAUGCAUUACAGCAUUUCAUUGGGAGACUCCGUCCUCAUUAUGUAUGUUUCCAAUGAGUGGCUAAACUAAGGAGUAAGGGCUGCCCAGUGGAAAAUUAUUGGUGAGAUUUCCAUUGCUCAGGAAACUUAAUGGAGUUCUCAGUUAUGUCUCAUUUGUCUCAGUUCUCAGUUGUCUCAGAUGUUUCUCAUAAGAAAUAAAAAAGAAAUAAAAAUAGAAACUUAGUGACAUACUAUGGAAGCCUAUUU